rnacentral:rRNA from 1 species
CACGUAGGGCGCGAGCGUGUCCGGAAUAUUGGGCGUAAAGAGCUCGUAGGCGGCCUGUUGCGUCCGCUGUGAAAGCCCGGGGCUUAACCCCGGGUCUGCAGUGGAUACGGGCAGGCUAGAGGUAGGUAGGGGGAGAAUGGAAUUCCCGGUGUAGCGGUGAAAUGCGCAGAUAUCGGGAGGAACACCGGUGGCGAAGGCGGGUCUCUGGGCACUGACGCUGAGGAGCGAAAGCGUGGGGAGCGAA